rnacentral:rRNA from 1 species
CCUACGGGGGGCAGCAGUGGGGAAUAUUGGGCAAUGGAGGCAACUCUGACCCAGCAACGCCGCGUGAAUGAUGAAGGUCUUCGGAUUGUAAAGUUCUGUGAUGGGGGAUGAACACAAUGACGGUACCUUAGGAAUAAGCCUCGGCUAACUACGUGCCAGCAGCCGCGGUAAUACGUAGGAGGCAAGCGUUAUCCGGAAUGACUGGGCGUAAAGGGUGCGUAGGUGGUUUGACAAGUUAGUAGCGCAACUCCGGAGCUCAACUUCGGAACUACUACUAAAAAUGUUGGACUUGAGUGCAGGAGGGGCAAUCGGAAGUCCUAGUGUAGCGGUGGAAUGCGUAGAUAUUAGGAGGAACACCAGUGGCGAAGGCGGAUUGCUAGACUGUAACUGACACUGAGGCACGAAAGCGUGGGGAGCAAACAGGAUUAGAUACCCCAGUAGUC